rnacentral:tRNA from 1 species
UAGGCGAGAUGGUCUAGUGGUAAGGACGAAGUGUUGCUAUUGCGUGAAUCCCAGGAUCGAUUCCUGGUUGUCUAA